GACGAACGCUGGCGGCGUGCUUAACACAUGCAAGUCGAACGGAAAGGCCCUGCUUUUGUGGGGUGCUCGAGUGGUGAACGGGUGAGUAACACGUGAGUAACCUGCCCUUGAUUUUGGGAUAACUUCAGGAAACUGGGGCUAAUACCGGAUAGGAGCUCCUGCUGCAUGGUGGGGGUUGGAAAGUUUCGGCGGUUGGGGAUGGACUCGCGGCUUAUCAGCGUGUUGGUGGGGUAGUGGCUUACCAAGGCAUUGACGGGUAGCCGGCCUGAGAGGGUGACCGGCCACAUUGGGACUGAGAUACGGCCCAGACUCCUACGGGAGGCAGCAGUGGGGAAUAUUGCACAAUGGGCGGAAGCCUGAUGCAGCAACGCCGCGUGCGGGAUGACGGCCUUCGGGUUGUAAACCGCUUUCGCCUGUGACGAAGCGUGAGUGACGGUAAUGAGUAAAGAAGCACCGGCUAACUACGUG
rnacentral:rRNA from 1 species